GCGAGGUGAACAUACAGCAACAUAUUCAUUCUCUAGGCAUUAGCUAUCCAUACCUUUAGAAGUAACUGUUAAUUGGCUACCUCCUUCUCUUUAAAAAUAUAAUAAACGUUGUCCUGUGUAUAUAUAGAUAUGUAUACGUGCAUGCAUGUUUACAGUGGAAAUUAAAAAAAAAUGUUGAAGUGAGAAAAUACGGAUGAGGCAACCACCGCUGGUACUUCCAAUGCACUUGUUCUCCUAUUGUCAGGAUUUGCAGAAAUAAAGAAUGAAUUAAUAUACGCGUGCACGUCCGCGCCAACAAUGAUGCAGUAAGCUAUUAGCCACAAUAAAAUUUUAAGUGAAAAGGUCGAGGCAAGUCAAAAGAAACCUCAAAUGAUGUGGGUGACAACUCUGGCAAUAACAGGUUAGGUGGGGGGGGAGUAGGCUUCAGCAUCGCCGGUGGGGGGGCUUAGCCCCCCUCCCCAAAUAAACUCCGGAGGGGGCUCAAGCCCCGAGAUUCCUUUCGUCGUGGUUUCUAUACACGCCCUUACAAAACUACAUUUGCUGCAGUAGUUACGUCUUAGCUACAUAGAAACUUUUAGUUAUGAAGUGUAUCAUACCUACUUUAUGUUUUUUAUAAAGUUUUGUACAUUACACAUUUUCGUAAAUAAUAAGUUUGCAUACUGUUCCUGCAUAUUUAUGUUCGGUGUUGUGCUUUGUUUUCUGCAUUAUUGACGCUAUAUUUUUUGUAAUAGUGCAUAUAAGUAAUAGACUGUGUGCAUAUAAGUAAUAGACUGCAUGGUGUGUGUUUGUUUCAUAAGCAUUUGCGCGUGCUUUCUUCAAACCGAGGUUGGUUAAUUAAUCAUGACUAAUUGUGCAAUUAAGCACAAUACAAAAAGUAGUGUGACUUACUCCAUACAAGUUGGCAAUGUGCAUUUGGUCGUGUCGUCUUAGAGAGCAUCGGCAUAUUUUAAAACUCUGGUUAAAGUUAGCUGGGGCACCCUGUAAAUAGCAGGUAUCUGCCGCAGUCCAUUCUUGAACAUGCCGCCGGCCCAUUGGGCUCGUGAAAAGAAAGAAGAAAAAAAAAAAAAUGUUAUACGUGUUUGAUAGCUCACGUGGUCCCAGAGGGGAGCUCAGUGCAAUAUCGAGCUCAUACGAGAAUAGUACGAAGAUCUGUCCCACAUGUGAAAACCGACAUCGUUCCCGAGGCAUACUAACGUUGCGUGUUCAGUGGCAGCCCUCGGUUAGCCUGGUUUCAGUAUAGAAUAGCAACGAAGUUUUUUGUUUUAAUUAAAGCUUUAGCGGUAGAAAAUAGGGCCGAUUGGUGUAGCAUAGUCCUGAUUCAGAUUAUAUAUAACUCGGGCUCCGCUUGAGUUAUCCAAAAUCUCAUAUAUGACCCUAAUGCGCCUAUUUACCAGUGGGUAAUGAGAGCGUCUAACCAUUGUCGACAGUUUUCCAAUGGCAUUCGAAGCACAGUAUUUCGACGCAAAGUUCGGAUGACGAUUCUGGCAGUUAAAAAAAAAAAAAAAAAAUUCACGAAGCAACUCCUCUGAUAUGCCUCUAAGUAUGCGUCGGCAUUGUGCCACUUAAUUGCUCGUCUCCACACAGCCCGGCGUCAUUAUCAAUCUUAUGAAACUUGAUCCGGCCAGCAUAAACACUUAUCAACCCUUAUCAACCCUCAGUGGUCGUUUGCUUAUCAAGUUCGAUAGUGAACAUGAUAAGACAGGGUUAAUUAAGUUAGUGUUCAUGACGGCACUCGAACCCAUGGCAAUUAGUGCUACGGUGUUCAUUAACCAGUUAAGAUAUAGAUAAUUAAGACAAGCAAGCCCUCAACCUUUGGUGGGAGUCGAACCCAUGACCUUUGGUGUUAAGGAGAAUUAGGGUUAAUUUAGCGAAGCUAUUGCAAACCCACCAUACGUUUGCAGAGGGGCAUUGAUGGUUCGGAUGCGUUUUGAGCUUGUUCUUUUAUUGAAAUGUAUGCUGCUCUGCGUGUUGUAUGGGUGGUUUCAAUGAAUGCAUGCAAUGUUCGCUUCCGUUUGCUGAGCGCUUGUAGCUUCUGCCUUACGUGGGUAUUGCAUUUUUUGCUUGCUUAUGCAGGUAUGCGCCAUUGCUGAAAGGGUUACGAGCCAUUCAUUGUCUAACGUGAUGGUCAAAUUUCUCGUUGGGCAGAUAGAGAAAUACUUACGCAUAUAAAAAUGCCCCUUUAAGCAACACAAAGAGUGAACAGAAUGAGAAGCUCCUUUGUCCGGAACACUCACUGAUGCACGCUCUUGUUACGACUGGGCAGGUGCGUUUCCAAGCCGUAAACGACCUGCAGAUGGAGUCUAACGGCGAUCACGAGAAGCGCCUGCCUUUUUUUUAGUGUGCACCCGUGUGGUGUGUCAUUCACAACACUGACUUCCCCUGUGGUUCACACUUGAAUACCUCCGAUCGUUAGGAUAACGAAACUUCGGGAGUGCGGCACGAUGAGGAUGCCGUCCUGCUUCGCGGUUAUGCCGGUGGUGCUCCUGCUGCUGCUGCUGCUAGUGUUGCAGGCCUCGCCGUCGGCAGGAGUACCUGCCAUGCGCACACUGUCUGUGGCACAGGCUGAAAGCGGCGAGCACCCGACGCCCGCAGGAGGUGGAGGUGGAGGCAGGAGCGGACGGGGCCGCUACGACUACGUCUACGAGUGUGCCAAGUGCGAUGACGACGCCUCGACUGACAUCGGCGCAACGGUGUACGCCUACGACGGAUGACGGCCGAAGCGUACUUGUAAGGCAAGAUUAAUAAAGCCUAUAUCGAAUGACAUAAA